UACGUAGGGGGCUAGCGUUGUCCGGAAUCAUUGGGCGUAAAGAGCGUGUAGGUGGUCCGGUAAGUCCGCUGUGAAAGUCGGGGGCUCAACCCUCGAAUGCCGGUGGAUACUGUCGGGCUAGAGUGCGGAAGAGGCGAGUGGAAUUCCUGGUGUAGCGGUGAAAUGCGCAGAUAUCAGGAGGAACACCUAUUGCGAAGGCAGCUCGCUGGGACGUAACUGACGCUGAGACGCGAAAGCGUGGGGAGCAAACAGG
rnacentral:rRNA from 1 species